AAUCCUCCUCCUCCUCCUCCUCAUCUUCAUCCUCAUCUUCCUCAUAUCUCCUUCUCACAGGGCUUUUCUCAUCCCGAUCCCAAUAGGACAUGUAACGAGCAGUCUGCUGCUGUGGUUGUUUAGGAGUGGUGAAUUUCGAACUUCGAUCGGUUUUCACAAUCAUCGUGCCGGAGAUUGAUGCCAUAUCAUCGUCGGAAACUGAAUCUAUAGCUCCACCUCCUCCGCCGAAGUCCUUAGGUAGACGUUUGAGUAAAGGAGGAAGUGAUUCGUCGUCGUUUAAGUCAUCUACAACGUCGUCAUCGUCAUCGUCUUUGCAAACCAUAGUAGCAUAGAGGUCUGAAUUGUCUUUCUCAUCCGUUUUCCGGUCGUUAUCGUGGAUGACGAAGGUGGAGUAAAUGUCGGAUUGCUUCGCCGGCGGCGGCGGCUUCCGGGAUCGCCAC
rnacentral:misc_RNA from 1 species